rnacentral:misc_RNA from 1 species
GAAAUGCGAUAAUUAAUGUGAAUUGCAGAAUUCAGUGAAUCAUCGAGUCUUUGAACGCACAUUGCGCCCCCUGGUAUUCCGGGGGGCAUGCCUGUCCGAGCGUCAUUGCUGCCCUCAAGCACGGCUUGUGUGUUGGGCUUCCGUCCCUGGCAACGGGGACGGGCCCAAAAGGCAGUGGCAGCACCAUGUCUGGUCCUCGAGCGUAUGGGGCUUUGUCACCCGCUCCCGUAGGUCCAGCUGGCAGCUAGCCUCGCAACCAAUCUUUUUAACCAGGUUGACCUCGGAUCAGGUAGGGAUACCCGCUGAACUUAAGC